AUUGAAUUUUGCGAGUCUUUGAAAGAUGUUUGUCGAAAAAUUGUGGUUGUUUAUCGCGAUUUUUCACUCUGAAAAUUUUGAUUUUUGGAAGGUACGUUUUUAUAAUUGUUUUAUUUGUGACCUUAAUUGCACGAUUUUUGUUUUAUGUGGUUGUCGUAUCAUGUUUCAGUUAUGUUAAUCACGCAUUGAAUUACCCUUGGUUUCGGGUCAGUGCACAUGUCACAAAAGUGGCUUUGAUAUUCGCCGGGGAUUAAAUGCUUUUUAAAUCAGGAAAUUCAACAACAUUUACAGCAUCGAAUGCAGGAAGGGUUAUUCUUUCUAUUGAUACUUCAAAACACAAAAAAUCCCCUCGAACUGACGAGUUAUCGCGGUUUGAAAAUGGGGUAUAUUUCGGUGCUAUAAAAGAAAUGGCAUUGAUAUACGCCAGGGGUUAAACAGUUUAUAAAUCGGGAAAUUCAGCAAAAUUCACAUCAUUGAAUUCGGAAAGGUCAAGGUUUUAGCUGAUACUUUAAAACAUUAACAAUCUCCUCCAACCGACGAGUUAUCGCUGUUUGAAAAUGGGGUAUAUUUCGGGUAUAGUGCACAUGACACGAAAACGGCUUUUAUAUACGCAGGGGGCUAAAUGGUUUAUAAAUCGGGAAAUUCAAUAAAAUUCACAUUAUUGUAUUCAGUAAGGGUUACUCUUUCUCUUGGUACUUUAAAACAUAAAAAGGCCCCUGAAACCGACGAGUAAUCGUUGUUUGAAAAUGGGGUAUUUUGCUUUUGCUGUUGCCAAUCGCGGGAAAAGAGGACUCUACAGGAAAUAUGGCGCGAGCGCGACGUAAACAAGCCAGCUUUUCUAACAUAUUGUUCCUGAUUGUAUCAUUUGUUUUUAUAGAAUUCGAGUUUAUUGGAGCAAAAAAUGGAAUCUAUUAAUGAUGGCGAUGUUGUUAUUGUUGAUCAUGAUUUAGAAAAUGAGGAACUCAAAUGACUGAUAUGCCAGAAAAACCAACAAGAAAAACCUGAAGACUAUAUCUCGUGUGGAAAGUUCAUUCAGUCAAGCUUUGGUUAGGUCAGGUUAGGUUCAUAUAAUGGGCCAUUCCAUUUAAUAUAGGCACCCCCCCCCCCUAUUGAGGGGUCCCUUCAUAAUCCCCUUAGGAUAUAAACAUUUUAGAACCCCCUUGGAUGUGAUUAGUGGAAGUUACCCCAUGGAUAUCUUCAUAUACUCCCUUUAGGAUAUCACUAAACACCUAAUUUUUGUUAUUUUUUGGAAAAUUUCUUAAGCUACCCUCUAGGAAAAUUUAAGGUAAAAACCACCUCCCCCCUAGGAUAUUCAGACCCCUCAAUAGGGAGGGGGGUGCCUAUAUUAAAUGGAAUGGCCCAUUCAAAGUCCUGGCACAUCAGCAAAGGUAUAAUAAAAACAAUUAUGGCAGACAAAAUUGUACUUAAAACUUUGUUAUUCUUUGCUAUUCUAUUCUUUAAAUUGUCUUUGUAUACAGGGAUGGAUCCAGCAUGAUCUGGUGGGGGGGGGGGG